CUUAUAUAGUCUGAAGGGCAGGGUUACAGAUCUGGAAACUAAUCCUAGUCGGUUACAAUUGCCAUGGAUAAUUCGAUAUCAAUUCAUAUUCUAACCGACUAGAAUCCUGCUUGAUCUCCCCAUCUUGUUUCCUUGCGCGAAACUCCAGGUUGUCGGAUCAAGCCUUGAACUCGUCUCGUAAUGGGCCAAGUUUCCUGGCCGAAGUCUAGCCGUAAGGGUAUAGGGGUUUAUACCCCCACAGCUAGUCCCCGAGCACCAUGUAUUGUGAUGUAACACGCCGUCUUGAGCUUCUUCGAUCAGUGAGACUUGACGUCUUCAAUAAGUGGGAAAGUCGCCCAAACAGUUGCAACGGUUCUUUGACCAACUCAAAAGACAGUUGAUCAACAUUGACAUCGAAGAAGCGAGUUGUUCGAAGAAUGCAUGGUGCUCUAAAUUAAAAAAGAUUUCUUUCCUGGUGAAGUGUGCCCACUUUACUUUUUUGAAAGGUAUAAACAUCAAAAAAGCAAGCAUAUUCACCGCAAGGUGAAGUGUGCCCACUUAGUCCCCGAGCCUGGUAGUAGGUGACGUAGGCACGUGGUGCCAGGGUCAAAAUAAAAGUCCUCAAAGAAAUUCUGUAACUGAGAUGCAUCGCCAGAUGCAUCGUACCGAUGUAGUCCCCGAGCUUGCUGGAAGGCGAAGUAUGAGCCUUGUAGCAAGGUCUAAAAAAUUGAAUUUACCAGUCCGUCUGCGAUUGAAUAGACUAAUCGACCAGUCUCCGAGCAUAUAACGCUCGGUGGUCGGUACAGUCCCCGAAUUCUCAAAUUGGUGGGCUGGUCGACCAGUCCCCGAGCGUAUAGUGCUCGGUGGUCGGUGCAGUCCCCAAGUUCAUAAAUUGGUGAGCUGGUCGACCAGUCCCCGAGCGUAUAGUGCUCGGUGGUCGGCACAGUCCCCGAGCACGGCGUAGGGACCGGUGGACAAGUCCCCGAGCGUGGUUGGGAACGUAAACGUGCUCGGUGGUCGGCACAGUCUUCGAGCACAGCAUAGAGAGUAGUCGACAAGUCCCCGAGCGUGGUUGGGAACGUAAACGUGCUCGGUGGUCGGAGCAGUCCCCGGGCACAGCGUAGGGAAUAGUCGACGAGUCCCCGAGCGUAGCUUGUCGACUGGGCCAAACCCCUGAAAAAUAAAUAUAAAGAAUAGGUAGUACAUGAUGUAUAAAUAAACUUUAGAUAAAAAUCAGUACUGAGAUAAGUUUUAGAUUUUUUGUUAUAAAAUUAGCACAAGUAGUUAAUUCAUCCUAGAGCUUGUACCAGCUCUGGUCUAGCCAACAAUCAGCAUGAGGUGCGGAACCUAGACACGCGUGGGAUUGCCAGCCUCGCCAGAGAGCUACUGCCGACCACCCGGAACGCAGAGGGCGGAUCUCGUGCACGUGUAGGGAGGAGUCGGAGACAGUACCGGCUCUGGAAAGCUCGUGUAGGAGAAAAAACUAGUGUGGCUAAACAAAAAGUUGUUUUUGAAGGAUAAUAAAAAAUAUUAUGCCAAAAAUAAAUAAGAUAUUAGAAGUGUACUUAUCUUUGGAUGAAAGUCUGGUCGGUGACGACAAAAUUGUCUGGCCCUCGAGCUUUUCGACUUGUCAUGACGGUGGUCGCGGUUGUCGUAGCGCCGUUCUUCGCGGUGAUCAUUAUUGCGACUCGUGGUUAGAGCAAGUAGGCCAAACAACUUGGUUGAUAGCCGUAGCAGGUCGGUGUCGUCGAUCUGCCUCCCUUUGUAGCAGAGAAGCGGCGACGCGUUGUCGGCGUGGUCGGAGACGUUGCUGGUGUGGUCGAAGCCGUAGCCAGCGUGGUUGGAGCUCCAGCCGACGUCGGUGAAGAAGUGAUCGACACAGAUCGGAUCUACACCUCCUCCGUGGUCAUGGCGGUGAAGUUGUUGAAGCUGACGGUGAACGCGAAGUCGCCCGCCAUGGCCGCGAAGUCGGGGAUGAUGGCCAUCUUGUUCGUCGGAAAAGUUGCACGCACACCCCCUACCUGGCGCGCCACUGUCGACGAAAGCUGGUCGGCAGUCUACCUUGGGGUAUACCCACGGUAGUAGUUUAUCGGUAGACGGUGCGCAAACUACGAACUCGAUGGUGACGCAAGACACGGACAAGCUUUUUAUCCAGGUUCGGCCGCCGAGUUGGCGUAAUACCUACGUCCUGCGUCUGGUUGUAUUGAUUUGUGUUGAGAGAAUAUGAUGUCCUAGGGGGGUCCCUUGCCUCUCCUUAUAUAGUCUGAAGGGCAGGGUUACAGAUCUGGAAACUAAUCCUAGUCGGUUACAAUUGCCAUGGAUAAUUCGAUAUCAAUUCAUAUUCUAACCGACUAGAAUCCUGCUUGAUCUCCCCAUCUUGUUUCCUUGCGCGAAACUCCAGGUUGUCGGAUCAAGCCUUGAACUCGUCUCGUAAUGGGCCAAGUUUCCUGGCCGAAGUCUAGCCGUAAGGGUAUAGGGGUUUAUACCCCCACACACACCCUAUCCCUAUGAGCACCUCCGAAGAACCGAGUUAGAGUGGCAAAUCUCGAGAUUAACCAAGUCACCAGAGGCGCCUCGUUGUCGACGGACACACACUACUACAAUAAACCUUAACCGAGGCGGGAAAAAUUGAUUUUGCGAGGCGGGCACACAAAACGUCUCCAAUAGAAGGUCAUAGUCAAUGGAGGAUUAAAGGAGGCGAUUUUUUGCCCACCUUCGUUAAUGGAUUAAAAUAAACAAAAAAGAAAAAAGCCCACAUGGGCUCGGAUCUGGGCCGCACGGAUCUAGACCUCGUGCUGCCAUUGUCGGUCUGUCGGCCCAGCUCCAGCUGCCUCUCCAGCGCCAUUAGGGAAGAGGAAGGAGCCUAGACCA
rnacentral:lncRNA from 1 species